AAAUAGCCCCGAUGGGAGGGAAUAUCCUUUUUAAAAAAUACCCCUUUCACGAUCUAAAACUCGGAAAGGGGUAUUUUUUAAAAAGAUAGGAAGGACAGCGGGACUACCG
rnacentral:sRNA from 1 species